UACGUAGGGUGCAAGCGUUGUCCGGAAUUAUUGGGCGUAAAGGGCUCGUAGGCGGUCCAUCGCGUCGGGAGUGAAAAGCUGGGGCUUAACCCCAGUCCCGCUUCCGAUACGGGUGGACUAGAGGUAGGUAGGGGAGAUCGGAAUUCCUGGUGUAGCGGUGAAAUGCGCAGAUAUCAGGAGGAACACCGGUGGCGAAGGCGGAUCUCUGGGCCUUACCUGACGCUGAGGCGCGAAAGCUAGGGGAGCGAACAGG
rnacentral:rRNA from 1 species